rnacentral:rRNA from 1 species
AGAGUGACGGGCGAUAUGUACACAUUCAAUAUAAUGGUCAUUUAAGCAUAUUAAACAUUAAAUUACUUUCAAAUCCAUUUUCUUUUCUUUUUUAAAAAAAAAUUCCAGUUUUUGCUAAAUUGUAAUCCACCUUAUCCUAACUAAAGCUGCACCUGGAUCUAUUUUUUUUAAUUACUUUUAAUUUGAAUAACCUUUUUAAAAAGGUAUUUAUACAACGGUAUACAUACUUUUAGCAGGUAAGAUAUAUCGUGGGUUAUCGUUUAUUAGGCAGAUUCCUCUGAGAGUAUAGGAUGCCGCCAAGUUCUUUAGGUUUCAAGAUAGUAGCUAUUAGUACCU